rnacentral:lncRNA from 1 species
CUCCAGACUUCGGAUCCCGCGUCCGUCCCCUUCCCCCCGACCCCCUCCGCCAGGCCGCAAACCUCAGCCACGCGGCCGGCCCGGUCCGAAGUGCUCCCAACUUGGACCGCCAGACAUACUCUCAACUUCGGCUCUGGACCCCGACCCCACGCCUCGCCUCCGCCGUCCCGAGCCCCGACGGCCAGCCUCGCACCGCCACGGGUGUGCGGCUCCCCCCUCGGACCGGUCCUCUCCUAUGGCCGAGCCCCACGGCCCGACGCCCCAAGGGCCCGGCCGCCAGCCCACCCGGUUGGCGACCCUCACCUCGGGCUCCUUGUCUCCACGCUCCCUCUCACAUCCGGAACCUCGCCGGCCCUCAGAGCACCUAGAGGAGGGUGGAACCCCGGGGACUUGGCAGUUGUAGCUGAGGCAGUUGAGGCUUGUUUACUGUCACCAUGGAAACCCCCAGAAGCGCGCUCGCGGUGGGGCCUCCGCGGAGCGACUCAGCCGCGCGGGCCGGCCUGGUCCUCAACUCCCGCCCGUCGAGCGCCCGCCGCGCUUCCGGGAGCCCUCCUGGCCCCUGGCCCGUUCCCCGCUCGACCCACGCCCCGAGCACCCGGAAACAGUAGCCCGGGAAGCCCACUUUCCCUUCCCACAGCCGGCGUGACCGCGGGCCGGCCUUCCCCCGAACCCCACCUUCAGGAAGACGAGGCGCAGUCCUCCUUCCACGACGAAGCCGGAAGGAUACAAGACCGUGGCGGGGCGGAGCCUCAGGCAGCGGACAUCCGGGCACCGGGCCGCCACGGCGCCAUUCUGACGAGCCCAAGUCCGAGCUCAGGAUUGGCCAGCCAGGCGAGGGGCGGGGCCGGGGAAUGUGGGCCGGCCUCUGAAUGCAGGAAAGGACAGCGACGGCGCAUGCGCACACCUCGGGGGAGCCAAGCGGCGGAGGGGGAGGAGGGGGAGGGGGGAGGGAAGGGAGGGGGCGGGCGAAGAGGGGAGCAAGGUGGAGGGUGGUCCAUGGAGAGCCUCACGACUUGUGGGCUGUGGGAGGACGCCGGGUGGUGCACGCGCGUUUCCGCACCCGGAAACUUGAGCCCCAAAGGUUCAAUAACCGCGCGCGAGCGGAAAACUAGCGUCGAGUCUUACGUAAAAAGAAAGAGCGCCUAA